rnacentral:rRNA from 1 species
UACGUAGGGUGCAAGCGUUGUCCGGAAUUAUUGGGCGUAAAGAGCUCGUAGGCGGUCUGUCGCGUCGGCUGUGAAAACACGGGGCUCAACUCCGUGCCUGCAGUCGAUACGGGCAGACUAGAGUUCGGUAGGGGAGACUGGAAUUCCUGGUGUAGCGGUGAAAUGCGCAGAUAUCAGGAGGAACACCGGUGGCGAAGGCGGAUCUCUGGGCCUUGCCUGACGCUGAGGCGCGAAAGCUAGGGGAGCGAACAGG